rnacentral:rRNA from 1 species
UACAGUGGGGGCAAGCGUUGUUCGGAAUUACUGGGCGGAAAGGGCGCGUAGGCGGCCAACUAAGUCACACGUGAAAUCCCCAGGCUUAACCUGGGAACUGCGUGUGAUACUGGAUGGCUUGAAUUCGGGAGAGGGAUGCAGAAUUCCAGGUGUAGCGGUGAAAUGCGUAGAUAUCUGGAGGAGUACCGGUGGCGAAGGCGGCAUCCUGGACCGACAUUGACGCUGAGGCGCGAAAGCUAGGGGAGCAAACGGG